UAACAAAACUAACACUUGUUUUAAUUUUGCCAAACUAUUCCAACCUAUCAGAGUUAACAAAUCAAAUUUAUUAUUCUGGUUACCCAAUGACAUCAAUGUUCAAGAAAAUACUAAUUUCAAAUGACCUUCUAUAAUCAUGCAAGACUUGACACUGAAAUAACUACCCGGAAAUAAAAUCUAAUUAACUAAAGCUAAGUACGAGUUCUAAUUUCCAGUUUGCAAGUUCAAACUAUAUCAGUCCACUAUUGUCCUGACUCCAAAUAGCAACUAUACAAUCCAAUUUUAAUUAACUUGAAUAAACAACUAAAUCAUAGAAAAACAUAACUAUACUAUUCAAAAGUAGAUCAACAGCAGCAUGCUUCAAUUUCCUUCUUCAUUUCAGCUGAAAUUUACAUACUGAGAUUCAGAACAAGUACCUGAAAUUGGAAAAUAAAGUGAGAAGAAAAAGAGGUUAGCAACAGCAAUUGCAAAAGCCAAAAGCAGCAACUAGGAUCACUUUUUCGAACAAAAUUACUUCAAAACCUAGGAACCUAAUCACAGAAUACCAUACAGAACCUAAUACCCCUUUAGCUGACCCAACAAACUCGAAUUCAACCAGUAAACAUCAGAAAUUUCAGCAGCAAAACCACAACAAGGUGAAAAUCAAUGGAAUAGUGAUUUCCUCUUCUUUUUUUUAGUUUUCUAGAGAUUUCUACUGUUUUUGGAUUUUUGUUUUUGGAUUUAAAAUACAACAAUGCAGAUUUAUAUAAAGAGAAAAUAUUUUGGGAAUUUCUAUUUUUGAUGGCCAAAAAGA
rnacentral:lncRNA from 1 species